rnacentral:misc_RNA from 1 species
GUAGGUGAACCUGCGGAAGGAUCAUUUCUAUAUUGUGAGGGAGAAAUUACCUUCUAACAUCUGUGAACUGUUAAAACAUAUAUAACUUAAAUCAAAGACAUCGUAAUUUACUAUAUGAUAGUUUCGAAAGGAACUUCAUAACAACAAAGAUACAACUUUUGACAAUGGAUCUCUAGGCUCUUGCAUCGAUGAAGAACGCAGCAUCUGACUGACUUCAGUAC